GCCUUCGUGGAGUAGUGGUCAGCACGCUGGCUCCGUAUGCCCGAGGUCCGUGGUUCGAGUCCUGGCAAAGGCG
rnacentral:tRNA from 1 species